GAUGAACGCUGGCGGCGUGCCUAAUACAUGCAAGUCGAGCGAACAGAUGAGGAGCUUGCUCCUCUGACGUUAUCGGCGGACGGGUGAGUAACACGUGGAUAACCUACCUAUAAGACUGGGAUAACUUCGGGAAACCGUAGCUAAUACCGGAUAAUAUAUUGAACCUCAUGGUUCAAUAGUUAAAGACGGUUUUGCUGUCACUUAUAGAUGGAUCCGCGCCGCAUUAGCUAGUUGGUAAGGUAACGGCUUACCAAGGCGACGAUGCGUAGCCGACCUGAGAGGGUGAUCGGCCACACUGGAACUGAGACACGGUCCAGACUCCUACGGGAGGCAGCAGUAGGGAAUCUUCCGCAAUGGGCGAAAGCCUGACGGAGCAACGCCGCGUGAGUGAUGAAGGUCUUCGGAUCGUAAAACUCUGUUAUUAGGGAAGAACAAAUGUGUAAGUAACUAUGCACGUCUUGACGGUACCUAAUCAGAAAGCCACGGCUAACUACGUG
rnacentral:rRNA from 1 species